GAUGCAGNGNCGCCGNGUGAGGGANGACGGCCUUCGGGUNGUAAACNUNUUCANUAGGGACGAAGNGCAAGUGACGGUACCUAUAGAAGAAGGACCNNCCAANUACGUGCCAGCAGCCGCGGUAAUACGUAGGGUCCGAGCGUNNUCCGGAAUUACUGGGCGUAAAGAGNUCGUAGGUGGUUUGUCGCGUUGUUCGUGAAAACUCACAGCUUAACUGUGGGCGUGCGGGCGAUACGGGCAGACUAGAGUACUGCAGGGGAGACUGGAAUUCNUGGUGUAGCGGUGGAAUGCGCAGAUAUCAGGAGGAACACCGGUGGCGAAGGCGGGUCUCUGGGCAGUAACUGACGCUGAGGAGCGAAAGCGUGGGGAGCGAACAGGAUUAGAUACCCUGGUAGUCCACGCCGUAAACGGUGGGUACUAGGUGUGGGUUUCCUUCCUUGGGAUCCGUGCCGUAGCUAACGCAUUAAGUACCCCGCCUGGGGAGUACGGCCGCAAGGCUAAAACUCAAAGGAAUUGACGGGGGCCCGCACAAGCGGCGGAGCAUGUGGAUUAAUUCGAUGCAACGCGAAGAACCUUACCUGGGUUUGACAUGCACAGGACGCCAGUAGAGAUAUUGGUUCCCUUGUGGCCUGUGUGCAGGUGGUGCAUGGCUGUCGUCAGCUCGUGUCGUGAGAUGUUGGGUUAAGUCCCGCAACGAGCGCAACCCUUGUCUCAUGUUGCCAGCACGUUAUGGUGGGGACUCGUGAGAGACUGCCGGGGUCAACUCGGAGGAAGGUGGGGAUGACGUCAAGUCAUCAUGCCCCUUAUGUCCAGGGCUUCACACAUGCUACAAUGGCCGGUACAAAGGGCUGCGAUGCCGUGAGGUGGAGCGAAUCCUUUCAAAGCCGGUCUCAGUUCGGAUCGGGGUCUGCAACUCGACCCCGUGAAGUCGGAGUCGCUAGUAAUCGCAGAUCAGCAACGCUGCGGUGAAUACGUUCCCGGGCCUUGUACACACCGCCCGNNCACGUCAUGAAAGUCGGUAACACCCGAAGCCGGUNGCCUAACCCUU
rnacentral:rRNA from 1 species